AAGUUCUUUCAGGUUGGCUUGCAAGUCCUUUGGACUUUGUAUUGGCUAAUAUGUGAGGCUUCUAUGUCUUUACAAACCAGUUAAGCAUGUUUAGAAUGUGUUGUAUUGGGACUUCAUUGACCCAUUAAACUAU
rnacentral:misc_RNA from 1 species